rnacentral:rRNA from 1 species
UGAGGAAUAUUGGGCAAUGCCAGCAAGGGUGACCCAGCAACGCCGCGUGGAGGAUGAAUGUCGUAAGAUUGUAAACUCCUGUUAGAGGGGAAGAAUAGUACCGGUUGGACCGGUAUAUGACUGUACCCUCAGAGAAAGCCCCGGCUAACUACGUGCCAGCAGCCGCGGUAAUACGUAGGGGGCAAGCGUUGUCCGGAUUUACUGGGUGUAAAGGGCGCGCAGGCGGGAUAAAAAGUCAGUGGUGAAAUCCUACAGCUUAACUGUAGAACUGCCUUUGAUACUUUUAUUCUUGAGUUCGGGAGAGAGAGACGGAAUUCCAGGUGUAGUGGUGAAAUACGUAGAUAUCUGGAAGAACACCAGUUGCGAAGGCGGUCUCUUGGUCCGACACUGACGCUGAGGCGCGAAAGCGUGGGGAGCAAACA